GACGAACGCUGGCGGCGUGCUUAACACAUGCAAGUCGAACGGAAAGGCCCUGCUUUUGUGGGGUUCUCGAGUGGCGAACGGGUGAGUAACACGUGAGUAACCUGCCCUUGACUGUGUGAUAACUUCAGGAAACUGGGGCUAAUACCGGAUAGGAUCUCCUGCUGCAUGGUGGGGGUUGGAAAGUUUCGGCGGUUGGGGAUGGACUCGCGGCUUAUCAGCUUGUUGGUGGGGUAGUGGCUUACCAAGGCUUUGACGGGUAGCCGGCCUGAGAGGGUGACCGGCCACAUUGGGACUGAGAUACGGACCAGUAUCCUACGGGCGGCAGCAGUGGGGAAUCUUGCACAGUGGGCGGACGCCUGAUGCAGAAACGCCGCGUGCGGGAUGCUGGCCUUCGGGUUGUAAACCGCUUUCGCCUGUGCCGAAGAGUGAGUGACGGUAAUGGGUAAAGAAGCACCGGCUAACUACGUG
rnacentral:rRNA from 1 species